UCAACAGUUGCUAUAUAACAAGAAUUUUGCUGCAUUGCAUUUUACUGCUUGCAGAACACGUGUUGGACUCGAUUUUGCUAGUGAUCUUGUGAUUGUUUCAUAGUUUGUGGUUCAUACUAUAGGUUUACCGCUGCAUGUGAGAAGCGAAUUGCUUCAUUCGAUUGGAGUAACCAGCAGGAACAAAAUGACCCCAAGGAAACAACUACUAUUUCACAAGCUAUGCAGCAUGAGGAGGACAUUGAAACGUUAUGAGCAUAAUUUGAAGAGUUGCAGGAAAGACGCAUUCGGGGUAAAGAAUGUAAGUAAUCUUUUAAACAAUAAAACUUAGAAUUGUUUAGAAUAUAUAUGAUAGAAGACCGUGGGCG